rnacentral:rRNA from 1 species
AUUGAACGCUGGCGGAAUGCUUUACACAUGCAAGUCGAGCGGCAGCGCGGGGCAACCUGGCGGCGAGCGGCGAACGGGUGAGUAACAUAUCGGAACGUACCCAGUCGUGGGGGAUAACUAUCCGAAAGGAUAGCUAAUACCGCAUACGACCUGAGGGUGAAAGGGGGGGAUCGCAAGACCUCUCGCGAUUGGAGCGGCCGAUAUCGGAUUAGCUAGUUGGUGAGGUAAAGGCUCACCAAGGCGACGAUCCGUAGCUGGUCUGAGAGGACGACCAGCCACACUGGAACUGAGACACGGUCCAGACUCCUACGGGAGGCAGCAGUGGGGAAUUUUGGACAAUGGGGGGCAACCCUGAUCCAGCAAUGCCGCGUGUGUGAAGAAGGCCUGCGGGUUGUAAAGCACUUUCAGUGGGGAAGAACAGGUUCGGGUCAAUACCCCGGAGCCCUGACGUUACCCACAGAAGAAGCACCGGCUAACUCCGUGCCAGCAGCCGCGGUAA